rnacentral:tRNA from 2 species
GCCCGGGUGGUGGAAUUGGUAGACGCGCCGGACUCAAAAUCCGGUUCCCGCAAGGGAGUGAGGGUUCGAAUCCCUCCCCGGGCACCA